GACGAACGCUGGCGGCGUGCCUAAUACAUGCAAGUUGAGCGCUGAAGGUUGGUACUUGUACCAACUGGAUGAGCAGCGAACGGGUGAGUAACGCGUGGGGAAUCUGCCUUUGAGCGGGGGACAACAUUUGGAAACGAAUGCUAAUACCGCAUAAAAACUUUAAACACAAGUUUUAAGUUUGAAAGAUGCAAUUGCAUCACUCAAAGAUGAUCCCGCGUUUUAUUAGCCAGUUGGUGAGGUAAAGGCCCACCAAGGCGAAGAUACAUAGCCGACCUGAGGGGGAGAUCGACCAAAAUGGGAAUGGGACAAGGCCCAAAAUCCUACGGGAGGCAGCAGGAGGGAAUCUUCGGCAAAGGACGGAAGGCUGAACGAGGAACGCCGGGUGAGGGAAGAAGGUUUUCGGAUCGUAAAACUCUGUUGGUAGAGAAGAAAGUUGGUGAGAGUGGAAAGCUCAUGAAGUGACGGUAACUACACAGAAAGGGACGGCUAACUACGUG
rnacentral:rRNA from 1 species